ensembl:lncRNA
AGAAGAAUCCAAAAAAAAAAAAAGGGGGGGUGGGGUACGAAUCUCUGUGCACACACAGACACCCACGUCCGGGAUAAUGGUAGUGACCAGUGUGAGACUACCACCAAAAUGGCCGUUUCUUCUCAGAUCCAAGAUCGGAGAAGGCAAUGGCACCCCACUCCAGUACUCUUGCCUGGAAAAUCCCAUGGACGGAGGAGCCUGGUGGGCUGCAGUCCAUAGGGUCACUGAGGGUCGGACACAACUGAGCGACUUCACUUUCACUUUACACUUUCAUGCACUGGAGAAGGAAAUGGCAACCCACUCCAGUGUUCUUGCUUGGAGAAUCCCAGGGACAGGGGAGCCUGGUGGGCUGCCGUCUGUGGGGUCGCACAGAGUCACAAGACUGAAAUGACUUAGCAGCAGCAGCAGCAGAUCCAAGAUGCAGAAGAGAAAUUCCCUGAGAAAAAGUAUGAAAGAUUUCAUGACUAUAUGGCUUCUGGCUUGUUACCCGCCUGAAAUUCAAAGCCAUCGUUUGUUUCUUGAGCCCAGCUGUGUGCCCAGUAUUGUGACAGAAACAGUGAGAAAGAGACAGAGAAACUGCCCUCCAGGCUUUCAAUACAUGAGCCAGACACAGGAGCUCCAACUUUUUCUUUAAUCAUCAAAAGUUCCCCUGACCAAAGAGUAGUAUAGGAAAAACAAGUCUUGUAUUAAGUAUUCUAACCAUUGAUGAAGACACCUUCCUUGACCCAAACUUAUUUUUUUAGUAAAGUUGUAUAUAUUUAAGGUAUAUAAC